rnacentral:rRNA from 1 species
CCCUUAGAUGUUCUGGGCCGCACGCGCGCUACACUGACGAAUGCAACGAGCUUAUAACCUUGGCCGAAAGGUCUGGGUAAUCUCCAAAUUUCGUCGUGAUGGGGAUAGAUUAUUGCAAUUAUUAAUCUUCAACGAGGAAUGCCUAGUAAGCGCAAGUCAUCAGCUUGCGUUGAUUACGUCCCUGCCCUUUGUACACACCGCCCGUCGCUACUACUGAUUGGAUGUUUAAGCGAGGUUCUCGAACUGCUAGCGACUUAGCUUCGGUGAGGUCGCAGUGUGGGAAGUGAACCUAGCUUUGGUGUCUAGAGGAAGUAAAAGUCGUAACA